rnacentral:lncRNA from 1 species
GAUUCUAGCCCUACGUGGUAUGAGUUCCAGACUGGAGGUGGAGGGAGGGAUAAGAGCAGCCUCCGUGAAGAUGUGAUUCUUGAUCUGAGACUUGCAGGGUCAGCAGCUACUUGUCCAACAGAUGGGAGAGUGGGAAAAGGGAGAGGCAGUGGGAGUCCAGAAAUGAACCAGAUGCAUCCUUGGCCAUGGAGGAACACCCAACCUAACUGGAGAGACAAAGGUGGAGAAGGAGAGAUGACUGGGUAAGAGAAAUUUAACAAUAGGUUAAGGAGUGGGUCACUUUCGCAUUCCAUCCUAGUUGCAGAAUCCAUCAAUAAGCAUUAAUUCUAAUUGCUAUCUAUUGCAUGACCUAGGGCCGGGAUCAGCUGACAGCCCUCUAUCACAUACCUCUUCUGUAGCAGUGGCAGACAUUACUAAUUGAUCAUGGCACUCUUUUCACUUGAGCCAGGCGCCACCAUCACCAGUCCAUUGGAGCUGACAUGGGAGAGUCAGUCUCCGUGUUAGAGUCUGCUCGUUGGGAAGGGCCUUGAGUUAGAAGUUGGGAGACAGGCCAACUCUCUGCAUAACACGGACAAGGCUCUAUUAAAUGAAAAGAUGAUAGCUGAUCUUUAAUGCCCUUUCCAGCUCUGACAUGUCAGCCACAAGCAGCUUGUCAAGGACAUCUUUAAGUUGGCACGCAUUGGUUGAGGGCCUACUGUGUGUGGGGACAUGAGAAGUACAAG